rnacentral:rRNA from 1 species
GAUGAACGCUAGCGGCAGGCCUAAUACAUGCAAGUCGAGGGGCAGUCAAUCUUUCGGGAUUGAGCGACCGGCGCACGGGUGCGUAACGCGUAUGCAACCUACCCUGUACAGGGGGAUAGCCCGUGGAAACAUGGAUUAAUACCCCAUAAUAUUAUAAUAUCGCAUGGUAUAUUAAUUAAAGUUCCGGCGGUACAGGAUGGGCAUGCGUAUGAUUAGCUAGAUGGUGAGGUAACGGCUCACCAUGGCGACGAUCAUUAGCGGGUCUGAGAGGAUGAUCCGCCACACUGGUACUGAGACACGGACCAGACUCCUACGGGAGGCAGCAGUAGGGAAUAUUGGUCAAUGGACGAGAGUCUGAACCAGCCAUGCCGCGUGAGGGAAGACGGCCUUCUGGGUUGUAAACCUCUUUUAUCAGAGAACAAAAAGUCCCUGCGGGGAAAAUUGAGUGUAUCUGAAGAAUAAGCACCGGCUAACUCCGUGCCAGCCGCCGCCGUAACAC